UCCUACGGGAGGCAGCAGUGGGGGAUAUUGCACAAUGGGGGAAACCCUGAUGCAGCGACGCCGCGUGAGUGAAGAAGUAUUUCGGUACGUAAAGCUCUAUCAGCAGGGAAGAAAAAUGACGGUACCUGACUAAGAAGCCCCGGCUAACUACGUGCCAGCAGCCGCGGUAAUACGUAGGGGGCAAGCGUUAUCCGGAUUUACUGGGUGUAAAGGGUGCGUAGGUGGCAGGGCAAGUCAGAUGUGAAAGCCCGGGGCCCAACCCCGGUACUGCAUUUGAAACUGUCCGGCUGGAGUGCAGGAGAGGG
rnacentral:rRNA from 1 species